CAGGGAGAGCCAGCUGUUUGACGCAGAAGCGCUGGAAAACCGAACUGGGCAACCUGUAUUGCGGAUAAAGUUGAAAAAAGGGGGACGGUUCUAUGAUUAUAACUUGCUGUUCUGGUCUCCAGUGGAACGGUGUGCCAUAUUUACUUUUGUCCUUCAAAGUAAGCCUGAGUGCGAGAUGCAAGUUUGGGAGGAUCACGUUCAACGAAACACACCCACGUGCCAGUCGGCAUAUAAAAAGCAAUGUGUAGGAAGACAAUUUCCUAUCUACACACGCCAAUGCGCGCCACCUAGACACUAAAGGCUAGAUAAGCACUCUCAGUUGUAACAAGAACAGUCGUAGCUUUUGAUGUAGUCGUAGUAAUGAUUUAAAUAAA